rnacentral:lncRNA from 1 species
CAGGUCCACGCACGCACACUGAACUCCAUUGUUGUUCCCUUCUUGUUGAUUGUGAUCUGUGAGUAGACUGCUAAGGGAAAAUUUUGACAAAAUAUUCGUCUGUCUUCUCCGAUUAAACCUCGGUAGAUCCCCCGACUAGUGGGUCCUUUGUGCUUUCUCCAAGAUGAUCGGCGACAACACUGCGCUAGGUCCUCCUCGUUGGUCUUUAUCAUGUUAGGAUAUAAUACCUGGUAGCUGUAUCUGUCAAGCCUCUGCUGAACGAGUUCUUCCUCCAAACCGGUGAUGGUCACUGCGCUGGUUGGAUUAUAACUGGAGAGAGUGAGAGAGUGAACCACUAAAGUAAAAAGAUAUGCACCAAUGUCAUGCUAGUCUCGACUGUUCUAUAGAUCUAAUACCGAUAAGGUUCAAUUGUUGGCAGCAAGCUCUGAUAGAUCCAGCCAUACAAGGCACUAAGAAUGUGCUCAAAUCCUGCUCCAAAGCAAGCUCGGUGAGGCGUGUCGUCCUCACCUCUUCCUGCUCUUCCAUCAGGUACCGAUAUGAUGUCACUCUGGUUUCCCCACUCAACGAGUCACACUGGAGCGACCCCGAAUACUGCAAAAGAUACAAUGUAAGCCUUCUCAUAUUCCUGACAUGUUUUCAGCAGUGUGCUUUUCAUGAUACCCAAAGAGCUUGCUCAUCUAUCUGGGAAGAACACUUCCGAACAACUCUUUGCAGCUGAAUAAUUUGUAUAUGGCAUCUGGUUCCCAGCAGAUGGCCAGGCCCACCAAAAAAAGGGUCCUUCCCUGCAAACGAUUCCUGGCCAAAACAAAUAUGUGUUUGCAGGGAACCCGGAUGCCCAAUGCAAGUUAGUUAACUGACAAAGAACUGAUGAGAAGUUUUAGCUUGUGUCAGUAGCAUAUCGGCAAACUUCACAUCCAACUGCGAUGAGCUCUAUCUGUAUGUGAUGGAUGUCAUUGAAACAGCACAAAACUCUGGGUCUACCCUUUAUUAAUUUAAG